AACGAACGCUGGCGGCAUGCUUAACACAUGCAAGUCGUACGGUAAGGCCCUUUCGGGGGUACACGAGUGGCGAACGGGUGAGUAACACGUGAGUAACCUGCCCACAACUUUGGGAUAACGCUAGGAAACUGGUGCUAAUACUGGAUAUGUGCUCCUGCGGCAUGGUGGGGGUUGGAAAGCUCCGGCGGUUGUGGAUGGACUCGCGGCCUAUCAGCUUGUUGGUGGGGUAGUGGCCUACCAAGGCGGCGACGGGUAGCCGGCCUGAGAGGGUGACCGGCCACAUUGGGACUGAGGUAAGGCCGAGAUGCCGACGGGAGGACGAAGGGGGGAAUACUGCACAAUGGGCGCAAGCCUGAUGCAGAAACGCCGCGGGCGGGAUGACGGCCUUCGGGUUGAAAAACGCCUUCAGCAGGGACGACGCUUUUUGUGACGGUACCUGCAGAAGAAGCACCGGCUAACUACGUG
rnacentral:rRNA from 1 species